UACGAAGGGGGCUAGCGUUGCUCGGAUUGACUGGGCGUAAAGGGCGCGUAGGCGGUUCGUACAGUCAGACGUGAAAUUCCUGGGCUCAACCUGGGGGCUGCGUUUGAUACGUGCGGACUUGAGUGCGGAAGAGGGUCGUGGAAUUCCCAGUGUAGAGGUGAAAUUCGUAGAUAUUGGGAAGAACACCGGUGGCGAAGGCGGCGACCUGGUCCAUUACUGACGCUGAGGCGCGAAAGCGUGGGGAGCAAACAGG
rnacentral:rRNA from 1 species